rnacentral:rRNA from 1 species
UGAGGAAUAUUGGUCAAUGGACGCAAGUCUGAACCAGCCAAGUAGCGUGCAGGAUGACGGCCCUAUGGGUUGUAAACUGCUUUUAUAUGGUGAUAAAGUGGGGAACGUGUUCCCUUUUGCAGGUACCAUAUGAAUAAGGACCGGCUAAUUCCGUGCCAGCAGCCGCGGUAAUACGGCAGGUUCGGGCGUUAUCCGGAUUUAUUGGGUUUAAAGGGAGCGUAGGCCGUUUGGUAAGCGUGUUGUGAAAUGUAGGAGCUCAACUUCUAGAUUGCAGCGCGAACUGUCAGACUUGAGUGCGCACAACGUAGGCGGAAUUCAUGGUGUAGCGGUGAAAUGCUUAGAUAUCAUGAAGAACUCCGAUUGCGAAGGCAGCUUACGGGAGCGCAACUGACGCUGAAGCUCGAAGGUGCGGGUAUCGAACAGG